rnacentral:hammerhead_ribozyme from 1 species
GUACUUCUGAAGUGUGCCAAACUAGGACGAAACAGUUGUCCAGUAC